GGCUCGAUAGCUCAGUCGGUAGAGCAACGGACUGAAAAUCCGUGUGUCGGCGGUUCGAUUCCGUCUCGAGCCACCA
rnacentral:tRNA from 1 species